AAGUUUCUGCCUUUGCUCCUUGUUAUGUUGCAACUAUCUCGGCCGUUUAGAGUCUGGUGGGGUUCUUGGUGUUCACUCUCCGCUUUGUAGCAGUGUGGUUCUACUCGAACUCUUGUCUUUCAGCUCUGUUGGCGAUGUGCAGAUGGUAUGAUUGAGUAUUAUGGAUUUGGAGACCCUCUUUUGUCUAAAGUUGGUAUGAAUGUUAUUAUUUUGUUUCUCUAGAUAGUUUGGAUUCCCAUGGGUGUAGGUUCCCGUAAAUCAUUCGGGCUUUGUUUGCCUGCGUAUGGCAUUCAAUAGGCCUGGGCA
rnacentral:lncRNA from 1 species